rnacentral:lncRNA from 1 species
GAAUUUGAGUCAAAUACUUCUCAUCUCUUAGCUUCUUUCUCUGCAAUACGGUUAUAACCCUAUCACCAAUCCCUUAAAACCCUCAAAUAUCUCCAAUUCCAUGAACUAAAUAAAAAAAAGCUUUGUGGGUUUUGUGAAAGUGGAUGCAUAAUGUAAAGGGUUUGUUUCAGAAUUUGAAAAAGUUUAAGAUCCAGAAUCAAGAUUUGAACAAUUGAAUCGAGCUGAAUCUCUGAUUUACCUGCAACUUGAUCAUCAAACCUUCAAUUUUCAGAGACUGAUGGUGAUGAAUCUAACCUUCAAUUGUCAUGAUGAUGAUGAUGAGGUUUUGUUCUUCAUGUGUUCUUGGUGAAACAUUUUGAUGAAGAUAGGUGUGGAUGCUUGAAGAUCUGGAAAAUAAUUGAAGACCCACAUUUUGGAAGUUAUUACUGAAUUUGUUUUUUCUUUUUAAUUUUAAUAUGGUGAGAUUACUAGAAUGCCCUUUGACUUAAUGGUCAAACCAACGAAUUCUUAACAGAGGGAUUCAACAUUCAACAUGUAGCACUUUUUAAAAGACAAGGAGACAGGCAAGGAAAUUUUCAUUUUGG